UACAGAGGGUGCGAGCGUUAAUCGGAAUUACUGGGCGUAAAGCGUGCGUAGACGGUUAUUUAAGUCGGGUGUGAAAGCCCCGGGCUCAACCUGGGAACUGCAUUUGUGACUGCAUCGCUGGAGUGCGGCAGAGGGGGAUGGAAUUCCGCGUGUAGCAGUGAAAUGCGUAGAUAUGCGGAGGAACACCGAUGGCGAAGGCAAUCCCCUGGGCCUGCACUGACGCUCAUGCACGAAAGCGUGGGGAGCAAGCAGG
rnacentral:rRNA from 1 species